GAUGAACGCUGGCGGCGUGCCUAAUACAUGCAAGUCGAGCGAACAGACGAGGAGCUUGCUCCUCUGACGUUAGCGGCGGACGGGUGAGUAACACGUGGAUAACCCACCUAUAAGACUGGGAUAACUUCGGGAAACCGGAGCUAAUACCGGAUAAUAUAUUGAACCGCUUGGUUCAAUAGAGAAAGACGGUUUUGCUGUCACUACUAGAUGGAUCCGCGCCGCAUUAGCUAGUUGGUAAGGUAACGGCUUACCAAGGCAACGAUGCGUAGCCGACCUGAGAGGGUGAUCGGCCACACGGGAACUGAGACACGGUCCAGACUCCUACGGGAGGCAGCAGUAGGGAAUCUUCGGCAAUGGGCGAAAGCCUGACGGAGCAACGCCGCGUGAGUGAUGAAGGUCUUCGGAUCGUAAAACUCUGUUAUUAGGGAAGAACAAAUGUAUAAGUAACUAUGCACGUCUUGACGGUACCUAAUCAGAAAGCCACGGCUAACUACGUG
rnacentral:rRNA from 1 species